rnacentral:lncRNA from 1 species
UUCAGCGGUACUUAGAGCCCCUGGGAGUGAAGAGGUAUAAAAGCAACUCCCACACUGCAUUUGCAUUUGGAAUCCUGUUGCUGCUGGUGAUCAGGAAGAAGCAUUUAGAGAGAACUUGGCAUGUGCCACAUCCCAAUGGGAUGGGAAUGCAGUGGCUGGCUUCCUCAGGUUCCAGGAGGUUCCAGUAUUGAUUAUUCUUAAAGUAUAAUUUACACAAUCAUGUGUGGAAAUCCAGGAAAGGAUGCUGUUUGUAAGAGAAACAGGGGCUUCGUCGUUUCAUUUUUGGAAAUCUUGCCCUUUAAAUCUCGAGCGCACUCGCUGCCCAGCCCAAAGCACACAGUCUUCAGCACAUGGGUUCUCUCUGGAUGGCUGUGCGGACAGGCCAGGACUCUGGUCCAGCUCUGUGAUCGUUUCGUUCACACGGUGAAUCAUUUGACCACUCUGGGCACCAGUUUCUUGCUCUAUGAGGGCCUCCAGAAAGGAAUGCUGCCCUGCCCCCACCUUGAUUUUAGCCCAGUGAGACCCGUGUUGGACUUCUGACCUCCAAAACUGUGGAAACGUAUCAUGCUCUUUUCUGUACCUUGAUAUUUUUCACUUAAGUGAUUUUGGAGAUUCUUCCAGAACAGAACAUGUAGAUCAACCUCAUUUUGAGUGCCGUGUAGUGUUCCAGGAACAUAAACAGCAAUUGUUGGCAAUAUGCCGGACCCAGAAGCAUGAGAAGAUGGCUCACCUCUCCUCACUGCAGCUCCUCCCUAUGUGUGAGUUGUCUGCUCACAGGAACGGCAGUCAUGUGAGACAUCAGACUGUCUCACGUCUGGACCAAUGGAGGGCGCCUCAGUC